CUACGGGUUGCAGCAGUGGGGAAUAUUGGACAAUGGGGGAAACCCUGAUCCAGCAAUGCCGCGUGUGUGAAGAAGGCCUGCGGGUUGUAAAGCACUUUCGGUUGGGAGGACUGCUUCUAGCACUAAUAUUGUUGGAAGUUGACGUUACCUUCAGAAGAAGCACCGGCUAACUCCGUGCCAGCAGCCGCGGUAAUACGGAGGGUGCAAGCGUUAAUCGGAAUUACUAGGCGUAAAGCGCGCGUAGGCGGCUAGAUCAGUCGGGUGUGAAAGCCCCGGGCUUAACCUGGGAACUGCAUCCGAUACUGUCUAGCUUGAGUACAGGAGAGGAGAGUGGAAUUCCACAUGUAGCGGUGAAAUGCGUAGAUAUGUGGAGGAACACCAAUGGCGAAGGCAGCUCUCUGGCCUGAUACUGACGCUGAGGUGCGAAAGCGUGGGGAGCAAACGGGAUUAGAUACCCCUGUAGUC
rnacentral:rRNA from 1 species